rnacentral:rRNA from 1 species
CUGGCUCAGGAUGAACGCUGGCGGCGUGCCUAACACAUGCAAGUCGAACGUGAGGGGGUAGCAAUAUCCUUGAAAGUGGCGCACGGGUGAGUAAUACGUAGGUGACCUGCCCUGGAGUGGGGGAUAACAGCUAGAAAUGGCUGCUAAUACCGCAUAAGACCGGAAUGCUGGGAAGUAUUCUGGUAAAAAACUCUGGUGCUUCAGGAGGGGCCUGCGGCCGAUUAGCUAGUUGGCGGGGUAAGAGCCCACCAAGGCAGUGAUCGGUAGCUGGUCUGAGAGGACGAUCAGCCACACGGGAACUGAGACACGGUCCCGACUCCUACGGGGGGCAGCAGUGAGGAAUAUUGGGCAAAUGGGCGGAAGCCUGACCCAGCAACGCCGCGUGGAGGAAGACGGCCUUCGGGUUGUAAACUCCUUUUACGGGGGAAGAGGAAGGACGGUACCCCGAGAAUAAGUCACGGCUAACUACGUGCCAGCAGCCGC